rnacentral:misc_RNA from 1 species
UCACAGUUUGCACUGGCAGUCUUGUUAGAGUUCCCGACACUACUCGCUGGCAACUAACAACAGGGGUUGCGCUCGUUAUAGGACUUAACCCGACACCUCACAGCACGAGCUGACGACGGCCAUGCAGCACCUUGUAUCCUGCCCGAGGGAGGGCUGGUUUCCCAGCCUGUCAGGAUACAUUUAAGCCCAGGUAAGGUUCCUCGCGUAUCAUCGAAUUAAACCACAUGCUCCACCGCUUGUGCGGGCCCCCGUCAAUUCCUUUGAGUUUCAUUCUUGCGAACGUACUCCCCAGGUGGGUUACUUAUCACUUUCGCUUAGCCACUCAGUCUUACGACCAAACAGCUAGUAACCAUCGUUUACGGCGUAGACUAC